rnacentral:lncRNA from 1 species
GGAAGGCAAGCUGCUGCUGGGAAGUGGUGGAAGAAUAGUGAUAAGCUUAGGCUAAGAUGGUGGGAUUGUUGGUAGCUUUGGGAUUCAAGGCAAUAUAGGAGGAAGUGGUGGAAUUGGUACGCUGGGAAGUGGUGGAAGAAUGGGGGUAGGGUUAGGAAGUGGUGGAAUUGGUACUGGUACUCUAGGAAGUGGUGGAAGACUGGGGGUAAGGUUAGGAAGUGGUGGAAUUGGUAAUCUGGGAAGUGGUGGAAUUGGGAAUCCAGGAAGUGGUGGAAGAAUGGGGGGAAGUGGUGGAAUUGGUGGAAUUGGUGGAAUUGGUGGAAUAGUUACUUGCUGAAGAUUUCGAGCUGCUAGGCUAACCUCCAUGCUUGAAAAACCCAACAAAAUGAAACAAGCUAAUAAAAUGAAAACGUUGGAACCUGCCAUUUUUUUUGGAGAGAUGAACUAAAGAUUGAAGAUUUGAGUUGAGGUUUGCAUUGAGGAAAGCAGGAUUGCUUUUCAGGUAUUUAUAGCCACAUUUGAAAGACUUAAUUAAUUAUUUGUUUGAGAUAUUAUUCCCCUACUUAGCAUACUACCUUUUCUCACCCAUCUGUCAUCACCAACAAAAAGAAGAAGAAGAUAAAUUAGACUCAUCCUUAAACUUAAAAAUAUUCUGAAUGAGUCGAUUUGUCUAAUGUUAGUUAAAAAUUAAAUGCUUUUAAAUUUUGUGUGAACUAUAUCUUUCUAUUUCCAUUUACCUAAUGCCAGUUAAAAAAUAAAUAUUUUUUUAUAUAAUGAGUGUAUAUUUGACUUACGUAUGUGGCGCUCUAUUAAAAAAAAAAUUAAAUUAGGUGGAUCAAAUUUAAAUAUUAGAUAACUAUACAUGUUGGUACUUAAACUUGGUAUUUAAGAUUUUUUGUUGUCCAAUUAAAGGUUGAAUUUAAAUUAGAUAGUUGAACUUGAUUUCUUAGUUCAAAUUCCAAGCUUAGAUACCAAAAUGUUUGGUAUAAUAUUAAAUUAAAAAAAUUCAAGAUGUAAAAUACUAAUUUAACAUUUAAACUAGUUGCCCCAUACAGCUACAAUGGUAAUGAUAGAAGAAAAGUAAUUGAAUGGGAUUAGGAGAUGAAGAUCCUAGUAAAGCCACCUCUAGAGGUAUGAGAGUUGCGACCACUCUAUAAUUGAAUGCUACAAAAAUGGUUAUAUCUAGGAAUCUUUCGCCAUUAGCUAAUAAUGGAAAUAGCUAUGUAUCACUUAAAAAACAACAAUUCAUAUUUUCUUGAAAUAUAUUCAAAAAAUUGAAAAAUAUAAAAAAUAUCAUUUUUCUAAAAAUCCAAAAAUUUUAUGUGAAUAUCAACAAAUUCAGAAACUAAAAGAUAUGGAAAGCUUUAAAGUUUUUCCAAAAAGAUAGAAAUUUGCAGAAAAUUAGGUAUUUAAGAUUCCAAUAUUUUUAUUUCCCUUCUUUCCUGAUUGGAGAAAAUAUGAAUUAGGUGACGCCAUCGUUAACAAUUGGGGCAAGGUAAGACACGGUUGGAAACUUCAAGUAGGUGUAAUUUUGGGGAAAUAUUACAUUGUUUAAUAAUGAAUAUUGACAUGAUUUACCCUGAGUUAAAUCAAUUAUAUUUUACUUAUAUUUUCUAUACAAAUUUUAUACAAGCCUAAAUUAAUCAUAUUCAAUCAUAUCAAUCUCAAUAUUUUGAAUAAGAUAAUAAUAUUUUCUUAAAACUAUAACUAUAUAAAGUAUUGUAAAAAUAAUUAUUCAAUUAUACAGCUAUUUUAUUUGUAUAAUUAUAAUUAACAUAACCUUCUCCAUCAUAUAAUUAAAAUUUGUUCAACUUAUAAUUACAACAACUUUCCGUGAAGAAAAGAGAGAGACACAAAUACAAACUAAUGAGAUUAAAUAAAUCUCAAAUAUAAAAUAUUCUUCAAUAAACAUCAUUAAUCAAUCUCAAAAGAAACAAGAAAAGAAAUUCAUAAAUUAAACAAUAAGAAUAUAAUAUAACAAUCCAUUAUUUAAUAAAUUCAAAAAAAAAAAUCACAUUUAUAUUUUAAAUUUUAUUGGUCUAAUUUUAGAUAGGUUUAUAAACUUCAAAUGAUUUAAAAUAUUAGUGUCACGCCCCUAAAUAUAGGAAGGUUCAUUGAAAUGAAUAAAUAAGAAAUGUGUUGACACCAUUUUUUUGAUGAAAACGGGGUUGACUUGGAUUUUGAAAAUGAAAAUUAAAAUGACAGUCGCCACCAAUCCUUUUUGAUAAGGUGUGAUCGGAUCACCUUGAAAAGUGGUUGUUUUUAAUAAACGAUUUAAUUUUAUUAAAACAACGAGUUUGGUCCACGAAAUUCAGAAAAAUGGGUUCGGGAGUCGGUUACGUACGAGGAAGGAUUAGCGCCCUCGUGACGCCCAAAAAUUGGUACCUAGUUGAUUAGUUAAUGUCUUAAUGUCAAAAAUUGUAAACUUUGAAGAAUUUUAAAAAUACGAUCCUUAAUUUUUUUAAAAAGAAAACUUAUAUAAAUCAAGUUACUCGUUAAGACCCUCCCAUUUCAGAAAGAGAAAACGUCACGCCCAAUGCGUUAGGGCACGAUAUUUUACCUCUUCAGAAAUGAGCUUGUCUAAAAACUUACACAAUAAAAUUUUAAAGGGCAUUCAAUUGUUUAAGUCAUGUGAAAAAUUGCAACCCAAUACAUUAGGGCACAAUUUCUCAAAAUAUUAAACAUUGAAUAUUGCAUUUAUUUUGAAAAAUCCUCAUAUCCAAUGCGUUACGGCACAACGUACUGAAUUCUCGAUAAUGAGCUAUUUAUUUAUGUUUUUGUUUUAAAGAGCACCCUCGAUUAUUUAGAUCCAACGAAGAAAAUUGGAACCAAUACGUUAGGGUUCAAUUCUCUCGAAGAUCCCAAAUACCGAGUAUUACUUUUAUUUUGAAAUUUUCCGUUUUUGAUAAAUCCGAGUAAAAAUGGAUGCAAAAUAAUGAUAAUGAUGAUAAUGUAAGUAAAAUAACACGAGCAAAACAAAAUAUAAAUAAAUAAUAAGACUAAUAUAAAUACAAUCGUGCAGGCGCAAUAACAAAUAAGAAACAGAUAAAAACUAAAGCAAGAAAAAUAAUAAUAACAUACAUGUAAAUAAAUAACUGAACAAAAUUAACAAAAUUAAAAAAAAUAUAAAAGAUAUAUUUAUACAUAUAUAUGUAUAAAAUUAUGAAAAUAUUAAAAACAUAUGCAUGUACACAUUUUUGAAGCUAUUAUACAUGAAAAUAUAUGUAAGUAUAUAUGCACAUACAUGAAUACGUAUAGAACCAUCAUCAAAUAUAUAAAAGUAUAUAUAUAUAUAUGUAGGUAUAUAUGAAUCACAAAAUUUAAAGAAUAAUAUAUAUAAGAUAUAUAUUUUGGAAGUAUAAAGAAUAUGUAAGAAUUUAUAUAUACAUACAUUUAUAUAUGAAAAUGAAAUAUAUAGAUAUGUAUGUGGGUAUGUAUAAAUAUUAUAAAAUAUAAAAACAUAUAUGUGUACGCAUAUAUAUAAAAAUAUACAUAUGUAUAUAUACAUAUAUAUUAUGAAAAUAAAGCUAAAAAAAAACUAGUUAGUGUAUUAACAUAAUUGUAACGACUAAAUAAAGGAAAAUAAUAAUAAUAAUAAUAAUAAUAAUAAUAAUAACAUUAAAAUAAUUAACUAAAUAAUAAAAAUUGCUAAAAAAAGAUUAAAUCGAAAUAAAAACGAAAAUACUGGGCAAAUUCGAAAUAAAAAAAACGAAAAGGAUUAAAUUGCUACACGCAUCGAAAGAGGGAGACCAAAACGAUAAAUAAACCAAAGCCCCAAAACGCAGCGCUGCAACGGACUAAAAUGAAACAAAAGGAAAACUAUGUGGCUAAAUUAAAAUAAAAGAAAAUAAUGAAAAAGGGCCAAAUUGCAACUCGUUGCAAAGUCGGAGUGACUACGCGCGCAAAUAUCCCCUUUUAAGAAAACACGCGGAUCCUCCCCCAGGGUCGGGUCACCGAGCGGGUCAGGGCCAAAAUGGCGUCGUUUUGGCACCUGACCCUAAUGACAAAACGGCGCCAUUUCGUUUAGGGUAUUUAAACCUAAUUUUUCCCAAAAAACCUAAUUUCAGCCACCAUUUAAAAAAAAUAAAAAACUUUCUUUUUCUUUCAAAAAUCUGACUUUUGGGGUAAAAUUUUUUACUUUCUCUUGAUAUUUUGCGCGAAUAUGAAUUGUUUUUUUUUAAAAAAAUAUGUAUAAAAAUAAAAAUGAACGGGUAUAAAAAAGAAAAGAGAUGCGAAACUAAAAUCACAUUGGAGUGAAUCUGUUUGUUUUUUUUAAAUCUGUUUUUGUAUUAUUUAAAAGUGUUCUUACAAAAAAUCUAAAAAGGAACCCCCUAAAUUACAGAAAAAUUUGGCUUUUAUAGCCGAUUCUCCCCCCUCAUUCUUUGCUCUGUUGCUUUUCUAUUGCUUGCAGGGACUUGACGCGGUGCAUGUGGGGUGUCGGUGGCAAGUGGGGUGAUGGAACAUCCGACGGUGGCCGUGGCUGCUGGUGAUGCGACUGGUGUGCGGCGGCCAAGAGCUAGGGUUUCAGAAAAGCUGAAACCCUAGUUUGACUGUUGGGGUUGGGAUUUUGGGCCAAUUGGGUUAUUGGGCCUCGAGUUUGGGUUUGUAAUUGGGUUAAUUUAUUUUUUUUGGGUUUUAUGUUUGGGUUUAUUGAAUAUUGGGCUGAGGGUUAGUGGGUUAGGCCUAGGUGGGUUGGUUUGGGUUUUGGGCCCCGGGCUAAAAUUGGGCUUGUACAAAAUGAAUUAGGUUUAAUGGCUAAGUGUUAAAGAAUUCACCUUAGAGACUUAAGUUCGAGUUCCCUUCCUUCCUUUUUAUUUUUGGUAACUUGGUUUUAGGGUAAAGUCACACUCAAAAUAUAUACGACUAGGAAUUAAGAAUAAAUAAGAAAUGGGCAAUAGGUCCAAUGGUUAAGUGUUAAUCCCCUAUCUUAGAGAUCUUAGGUGUAAGUUUCCUUUUUCCCCUCCCAUUUUUCUUUUGGAUUUCGACAAUAAGGGGAAAUUUGCUGUGCCACCCCUAGGGUUUUCAAACCCGAGCUAUUUAAUCAUUCUUUUCCCAUUUGGAUUAGUUUUGCUUCUUUUCAAAUUCUUGUAAAAUUUCUACUCAUAUUAUAUUUCUCUUAUAUUUAUUUUCUUUUCCUUUCUUUUCAUUGUAACACCCUAAACUCGGUCGAAUAGGUUCGACCUAAAUUUGGAGAGCUACAUUAGCCACCGAAGUGACUUUCCAUUAACUCCCAAUCUAACCUCUAACACACCACUUACUUGCAACGUAUAUUAUGAUAAGUUAUAUCAUAACAAGGGUAUAAUAUAAUACAUAUAAUGUAAAUCAUGCAAGCUUAAAACCAAUGUAACACCCCAAACCCGGCUGAGUAGGUUCGACCCAAAUUUGGCGAGUUACAUUAGCCACCGAAGUGACUCUCCAUCAAUUCCCAACCUAACCUCCAACACACCACUUACUUGCAAUGUAUGUUAUGAUAAGUUAUAGCAUAACAGUGAAAUAAUAUCACAUAUAGAAUGUAAAUCAUGCAACCUUAUCAAACAAAAUGAGGGAACGGUUCGCAUGUUAAUUACUACGUAAGGCUACGUAGUAAGGUUAUCGCACCUAAGGGUUCACAAGCAUAUAGGGGGUCACAAACAAACAAAGGUCGCAGAAAAUAACACUUCGCAAAAAAAAUUGGCUCGCGUAUGAUGUUAAUACAUAUUUUGGAAAAAUUGAAAGAAUGCGACAUGGUACUCAUGCUAGGAGAAUUAAAGAAACAUCAAAGUAUAUUCAUGCAGAGAAGAAAUUAGUAAUAAAGGUUUAACUUCAUGGUUCGCAAAAUAUUAAAAGAAUAAACUUAAACUUUAGGGAAAUCGUUUCAUUAACAGAAUCAUAUAAUGAUAAAUCUAAACCUAUAUAAAUAAAACCCCAUCACCUAUUUCCCUAGGUUCGCAUUAUUUGUUCAGAGAUAGCCUCGCUAUUGCCAUUGGCGACUUACUUACCUGCAAAGUAAGAGAAGAGUGGGUGAGUUCAUUGCGAACUCGGUGAAUAAUCCGGAAUCAUCAACGUAUGAUUAAAAUACAGAGUUUAAAAUAGAAAGAAGACUUAGUAUGAAAAACUAUUGUAUCGCGUGUUGGGUUCGCAGUGAAUGCUAGGUUCGCAGUGAAUGUGCGAGACCCAGUUUAUAGAACCUGCUUGUCAUAAAAUCAUAUAAGUUUGAAAAUAGUUUUGCAUGUACUUACUGAAAAUCAUACUUAAAAACUUAGCUUGUUCUUGUUUGAAAAUGGAUCUUUUAUAGAAUGAAACAUGCUCACAUACUUAUCUUAUCGGAAUGGCUGAGGAAUAUAAAAUAUGUUCUUGCACUUUUCUUAACUUACUUAUAUUAUCUUGUCUUAUUUUGUUGGAUAUGUGGAUCUCUUUAUAACGCCUCAGAAUGACUCAAAGAGUCCUUAAGAUGUCCCAUAAGUGUAACAUAAGCUAAACACUCUCUUGUACACCAACAUGUCCUAUUGAAUGGAGCAUAGCUUGGCGUUCCCUUAUCUCUCCACAUGUCCCAAAGCCUCAAUGCCCAAAUCACAAAACUUAUUGGUGAGUACUCACAAUCCUUUGGUAUACAAAUAUAUCCAAUAUAUAAGCUCACAAAGGCACUCGUAUAGAAACUUAGCACAUAGAGCUAGAAAAAACAUAGCUUAUAGAACUGUAUUUUUAAAACAUGCUUUAAAACAUAGGCUUGCAUAGGAGCAUGCGUAACACAUAUCUUUAAAACAUAGCUUAAAACAUAUCUUGAAAACAAAUUAUCAGAACUUUUAAAAACAUAGUUUUAUAGGAAAAAAAACUUACUCUUGGAACUUAGUUUUUAAAAAAAAAAGAUUCUUAGAAAACAUAACAGUUCACACACAAGUUACGAAACCUGAGCAUUCAUACUAAAAAACAUGAUAGUUACCACACUUAUGGCAAUUCUUAACCACUCAUCGAUAAAACUGAAAAUUUAAAUGAGUUUUGCCUUGCCUUUAUCCUUGCUGUAGAUAGUCUGGUUGGUUCGUAACAUGCAUAAACACACAAAUUACUUCAAUAGACAAAACUUACGAACUUCACACAUGCAAGCGAACCUAGCUUUCUGGACAAUAAACCCUAAUAGGAAAAAUGCUUACCUUGGUUGCUACGAAUUUGGUUCAGAACAAAGACUUGACAACAAAAUAACGAUGAAAGAAUUUUUCCUAGAAUAAGGAUUGUAUUUAUAGGCACUAAGUAUCUUAGUGACCUUAGGAUACCCUAUUUGACUUAGGAACCCUCUACGGUUUAAAAGAAGGUUACGUGCACGAAAAGUAUCCUAGAUACACAAUAUAUUUAUUUCCUAAGUUUAGUCUAACUUGACUUUUGAUUGGCGAACCCCUAGUUUGUAACUCAAUUGUUGAACCCCAGCUCACUAAACAGAUUGGAGAACACAACUUUCAAUGAAUCUAGCGAACCUCUUACCACAUCAUUUGGCGUGCAGCAGUUUGCUAGAACACUGGCAAACUCCUUACUGGUAUCCCCUUUGGUGAACCCUAGUUUGCUGAAACACUAGUGAACCCUCACUUGUAAGGUCAAAACUUCUAGAUCAGGUUUCAGGAUGUUACAAACACCAUAUUUUUAUCAUAAUUGUUGUUGAUUAUUUUUCUUUCCUGAAUCAAAUCAUCUUUCAUUAAAUUAUUUUUCUAUUAGUUUUGUAAUUGUCGUCAAUAGCACCUCUAUAUUUGCCAAGAAACAAACCGAAUUUAGGUGAAUCAGACCGAAAUAAAGUGUGAAGAACAUCAACCGGAACUGUGGUGAAAGGUGUGUGUCUUUUCCAAGUGAAUCAGUGGUGAUCUGUGUACGAUUAAGGCCACAUGGGCUAUGCGUGUGGUCCACCAACUACCACACAACCAUGUGCACUUGUAGAUUUUAGGGACUUCAUGAACCAUACGGCCUCAGCCAGUUACACGAUCGUGUCUUUCCUGCAAGGUUUAUCAUUUUCCACAUGGAAUCAUGCUGUUACAUGACCGUCUAACCCUUACACAGGGUCUUACCCUUCUCACAUGGCCUGGCCAUACAGCCGUGUGACCCUGUUUUACAGUUUUGACCAAAAAUUUAUCAUAUGUUCAAUUUAGUCCUCGUUUAUCCCUUGAAUUAUUUUAGAGUUUUCAUUCACUCAAUUAAGUCCUUGAUAUUGUGUUUAUUCUAGAAUCUGUGAUUUAAUGACUAAAUUCCUAUUUUUAUAUUGUAUGAGAUGUGAAUAUUACAUGCCUACUGUCAUUGUAAUACUGAUAAACUAUUAAUGAUAAUAUUGUUACCACCCUAUUGAGUACAUGUUAAGCAUGUCUACUGCUAAUGUUGAACUGAAUACAUGAUAAGCAUGUCUAUUAUUAUUAUUUUUUGUAUUGUUCUAUUACAAAGCAUGCCAUAUUGCAUUGCAUGGGGUGGGACGAUAUGUAUGGAGAAAGGGUGACAGUUUAAUAAUCUGCAACCCAGUGGUGGCUCGUCCACAAACCCAAUGGCAGUUUAUCUGCAAAUGUUUUAACUAAAAAUACUGGUUGUUUAUCCGCAAUUUUUACAACGAAGUGGUAGUUUAUAUACAAAUCAGUGGUGAUUUAUCCACAACUCGGUGUGUAUGGAUGGAUGAGUUCUGGGGAACUCAUAGUGUGGUGUGUAGUGAAGUUGGGUAGGACCUUUUCUGAUAAACUGAAAUUGCAUUGCCAUUCAUAAACAUGUGCAUACAAACCAUGAAUUCUAAAUAUUAUAGUGAAGUGUUGAAUUGGAAAACCGAUAUUGUGAAUUGCUAUACGAUUGUGGUUAUUCUAAGAAUUGUUAUUUCGUAUGCUUUGACCACUAUGUUACACCGAUUUUCUUGUGAUAUGACUCACAUUGAGCUUAAGUUCACCCCCUUUUAAUUUCCAUCUUUAUAGAUAACCCACCAGGUUAGGACAUAGACACAACAUCUGGAAGGUCUUGGCUCAGAUAAAUUUUUUUAUUAAAAGUAUUUUAGACUUAUUAUUAUUUCUAUUAUUUGGAAUUGUAUUGUUUUAUUCAAACUUUGGCACGAGACUUAAGUUUUGAGUUUAUUUGACAUGCAUGAAAUUUAAUUUGAAUAUUAGGAUAUUGAAACAUGGAUUUUAAACUAAUUAUGCAUGAAAUUUUGGUUUCGCCAUCAUUAAAAAUAUUUUGAAUAUCAUUUUUCCGCUACGAUAUUAUGAAAAUAAGAAUUUGAAAAAAGUAAAUGAAUUGGAAAUCAACUUUUACUAAGUAAACUUUAAAAUCCAUUGUUUUUUGGAAACUUUUAUUUUUUAGUGAAAACAUGAUUACACGCAAAGUUUUUCUUCAAUAAUAAGCAAAUGUUUUAAACAACUGUUUUAUAAAAACUCCGAUAGUUGUAGUAGGCCAUUUCGGUAGCCAAUGCAAUCUUUUGAAUUCAGUCUUAACGUUUAGGCCGAGUUGAGGAAGUUACUAUUAGCAACUUAACAUUAAUUUGAACAUUAAAUGUUGGUCCAAACUUGACACGAAAUAUAUUUAGAAUACAUAAAUCAAAAAAUUAGUAAGUUGGCUACUUGGGUUAAUUUAUUGGUUUGACACAACAUAUCCUAUAGUAAUUCAAUGGGAUUAGAACAUCCCAACUCCUAGUUGAUUUAAUUGCUAGGUUAUCUAAGUCCACGCUUGCAAUUAUUGCUUAAAGCAUUUGUUUAAUAAAAUCUUAAAUUCCAAUGGAGGUGCUUUUUCAUAAUAUGAGGUAACCUAAGAAAAAGGAAAAAGUUGAACAUAUUGUUAAGUUAAAAUUGAACAAAUUAAGGCAAAGUGUACAAAUGGAGUGUCAUCAUUCAAAUCGGUCCUUCUCUUAAUUGUCAUAAGCCAAUUAGGUAAGCCAGAUUCUUUUAAUAAAAAGUAAAGAUUUCAUGGCAUCCCUAAAGCAUUGCAAAUUUUUUGUAAGCAUUAAAAUGGCAUUAGUUGGUACAAUACUGGUAUUGAUCUGUAUAUAUUGCUUCGGUUUUGAUCAGUACCAAAUAGUUUAUAUUUCGUUCAAUCAAAAUUUUGUUAUGUUUGAUUAUUUCGGUGUGUUUCGACCUAUUUUGGUCAAUAUCGGCUUGUACUAGCUAGUAUAAAAUUUGAUAUUUUAAACUAAAUUUUAAAAUUUUUUAAUCUUAAUUAUUUUAAUUUUGGCUAAAGGGUCUUCAAAGCCCUUGAACAUUAAAAUUUCAAUCAAUUAAGCCCAUCACACAUUAAAGUUAACGAUCAACCAUGAAAGAGCAACAAUAGCCAUUAUGAGCAAUUGUUUUCACCACGUGGCAUGUUAGACUGUACCACGUGACGAAAUAUGGUGUUUUAAAUUUAAAACCAUUAAAACUAUAGAAAAUCAUAAAAUAUUAAAAAAUUACAAAAGUUAUAAAAUUAUAUAAAAAUGAACAAAAUUAUAAAAAGUAGUAUAAAUGAUACAAAAAUUAUAUAAAUUAUUAAAAAAUUGCAAAAAGAAAACAUUAAAAAUAAGCUUAAAAUAAGAAUAUAUAAAAAAAUGUAAAAAAAAAAAAUUAGAAACUAAGUUUCGGAUACACAGCUCUGGCUGUAUUUUUCAUAAAUAAAAGCUUGGUUGAGAUUUUAGAUUUGGUAUAAAUACAAUAAAUAUAAUAUUUAUAGUAGUAAACAAGUGAAUGAAAUUAAGUAAUUGUGAUUGAGAUUCACCAUGAUUAUAUUUAUAGGAAUAAAAUAUUCCUAUAUAUAAUGAAAGUGUAAUUGAAUAAUAAAAUUCAUAUUAAUACAAGUUGCUUUAAAACAAAAGUAAAUAAUUUGAUAUUGAUCUUGUGAAACAAUUGAAUUUUGGUUUUGUUAUGGGAUUAAAUUAGCAAUUAAUCCUUUUUAAGAAUUUAGAGAACGAAUUAGAUAAGUUAGACAUAAAAGUAGAAGAGUAAAAAGAAAGGAAGUAGUGGGUAGAUUAACAUAAUUAGGAGUUUAAAUGAUAUGAUAAUAAUUAAAGCUUUAAUUUAGUUAAGGUAAUUAGAAAUGUUUGAUCAUAUUUUAGAUGUUAAUUGAAAUUAAACGAGUUAAUAGGUCGAAUACAAGUUUAUAUUUUAGUUAAGAUAAUUAAGAGUUUAACUAGAAUUAAAAAAAAAUAAGAAGCACAUUGAAUCGUCGAUGAAUUGAUUUGAUUCUAAAUCCAAACUCAAGAGAGUAGGAACAUAAUCCAUUGGAAACAACACUUUUAAGUUGUUUAAAUUUUUGAGAAAGAAAAACACUUUCAACCUUUUUUUUAAUCCCCACUCUAUCCACCAACCUACUCGUUGCUUUAUAAGUCAAAAUCGGGAAAUUAAAUAUUACACUAUUACUAAUUCGGUUAAAUUGGUUAAUUCGGUCAAAUGAAUAUUAUCGAUUUUUUGAUAUGUUUUUUUACUUGUUUUAACCAAAAAAAUAAAACAUAUAAAUUUCGGUUAAUUUGAUUAACCGGCCGAAUUAAUCGAAAUAUUUCGAUUUGGUUAAUGGUUAAAGAUACUAAUUCGAUUCGGUUAACUGAUCGGUUAAUUGUUUGAGCACCCCUAAAAAUAAGUCAUGGGACCAACAUACUGACUUCCAUACAAUUGUUAGGUAUAUAUAGCAACUCAUAAGUAUGAGUAGAAUUAGUACGCAGUACCUUAGAUUCAUUGAGCCACAUUUCAAAGUUUCCCAUGAUCUCUUUUGCUGUCAAUGAUAUAAUAAACUUUUUGUAUUCACAAUUAUGUUCACAAUAUAAAACAUAAUUGGUCGACUUGAAUACAAUUAAAUGAGACACUCUAAUGUUCUUUCCUUUUCCUCAAAUCUCUCUAUUUCAAUUCAACUACUCUCUAGAUAUGUCCCGUUAGAUUGAAUCAUACAUGAUCAUCGAUAGCCUACUAAAAUAGCUAAUAUUGAUGUAAAACUUCAAGAAACAGUUAAAGGUCAUGAGGGUACUUAGUAUAGAUCUUCAGUUGAUCUCAUGGGUUUCACACAACAUAGAAGCAGAGAUCAAAUCUUCUAUUACCCAUUUUGUUCGUAUAAUACACAUGUAGUAUGAAACACAUGCUAUGGUAUUACUCUCACUUUCCUUGAAGUGUAUGUCUUUAUCAAAAAAUCAAUACCACAUAGGUGAUAAUUCAAAUACACUUAGUAUCUAACUCGAGUCCACAACUUUAUUUUCUUAAUAGAUUCAACAACAAGACUUUCACCUGGAAUAAAAGACAUAUAAAGUGAAAAAUUCAUAUUUAAAUUAUCAAACAUAAAUCAAAUUGAUUAUAAUUAUAUCAUUUUGCAUAUAGCUCAUGUCGUGCAAGUGCACACUUUAGCCCCAACAAGUUUGGACCUAUGCCCUUCAUGCAUGCAAGGCAAGAUUCCAAACAUAAUCAUUCAAUCAUCAUUUAUGUGGGUUCUCAUAUAUAUACACAUCUCACACUUGGUAUUUAACCAAUGUGGGAUCUAAGCUUUUCUUUUCCUCAACAAAUAUUCACAAGUAGCUUACUUUGAGCACCAAUUUCUCAUUCAUCACUCAACCAUUUUGAGCAUAUGAUAUACUGUUGUAAAGGUCUCAUGGAGUAGAAUAUAAAAUCAUAAUUUUAUGAUUCAACUCUCAACAUUUACCAAUUAAAAAUAUGCCUCAAAGUUCCCAUAAAUUACAAAUUUUCCAACAACUUUUGAAUGCAUUAAUCAUUAUCAACAUUAACUCAAGUGAGGACAAGAAUAUAUUAUUCAACUUGCAAUCCUAGAGUUUUGACAUUCCUUUAAAAAAUCUCUAGGAAUCGGUUUUGUAAACUGAUUUGCAAUCCUCUUAUGCAUAGACUUUCUCUCUUGUUGUGAGAUUUACCUUCACACUUAUUUUUUCCAAUAUACUAACUUUAGAUAUUUGGAGUUUGGAGUUGGUCAAACAGAUGUAAAAGCUACCUUUUCCAAAUGAAAAUCUGGAAUUUACACAGACAAAGUAGAUUUCAUUGACAAAGGUGAAAUGCAUAGUCUGGGCAAGUUAUGAAGAUCAAUUUUAUGAUCUUAAGCGAUUUUCCAGAUAGUGAUAUGCUAUUUUUUUUAAUUAAGAAACUGUUUAGUUUGAUUUAAUCAUAAUUGAUAAAGACCACUUUACUCAUGUUAAAAGAAGGAAAGAAAAUUUUGUAACUAUGUCAUUUUAUGUGGGUGACAUGUUGUUGGCCGCAAAUGAAUUAGUGCUUAUCAUUAUGGGUUAUGCAAGACUACAUGUCAAUUCAUACGAAUGUGUCCUUUUUUCAAUGUUGUGAGUAGCAUCAUAUAUGUUAUGAUGUACAUAAAGCAAAGUAUCUCUUGUAUAGUUGGAUUCAAGACACUCCAAUCCAAACUCAUUGCAAAACAAUGAAAAUGAUAUUGAGGUAUUGAAAAGACACUAUGGAUUUUCACCAUGCUAUCUAAUUGUGAAUACAAAUACCUAUUAAUUAAAAGGAGAUUUAGAUGAAAUAUUGAAAUCUAUCUCCACACAUGUGUUCGUAUUUGAUAAUGGAGUGAACUCUUAAAGUAGUAAGAAAUAAACUUGUAUAGCAUGGUCUAUUAUUGAUGCUGAAAUUGGCAUUUUUAGCGAUGGUUCAAGAGAGUGUUUGGGUUAAAAUAAUCACGAUUAAUAUAGUUACGUUAAAGCAAAAUAUCUUCUAUAGUUGGAUUCAACAUAGUCCAAUCCAAACUUAUUGCAAAACAAUGAAAAUGAUUUUGAGGUCUUUUAUUGUUCUCUCUUGUAUAGUUUGCAUCUCAAGGCACUUUCUUGUUGAUUACGAUGAACAAAAAACGGUUGCAAGCUCUGGGACGAGCAAGAUCAAUAUCUUUAGAGAUCAAAUGAUGGUUAGUAUACAAAUUUAAAAACUAGUUUUUAUAAUUUCAUUUUCAUAUAGUUUUUAUUUAUUUUUUAUUAUAAAUUUUAUGCUUUUUAUAAUAUUUUAUAUGUUUUAGUAUUUUUACAAUAUUUUAAUAACUUUCUAUCUUUUUAAAUAUUUAUUACCAUUUUUAUUUUUAAUUCAAAUAAUUUAUUUUUUUCCAAUUUUCUAUAUUUUAUAAUAUUUUUAAUAAUAUUUUAUAUAUUUAAAUAUUUUUUCAUAAUUUUAAUUUUUUUAAAUUUUUCAUAAUUUAUAUGUUUUUUUAAUUUUUAUUUUAGUACUUUUUAAUGCUUUUCACAAUUUUUAAUAAUUUUUAUAAUUUAUAUUUUUUUUUCGUUUAUAAUCAUUUUUAUAAUUUAUAUAUAUAUCUGCAAUUUUAUAUAUUUUAUAAUUUUUGCAAUUUUUAUAUUUUAUAAAAUAAUUUUGUAAUACUCCAAACUCGGCCUUAACGUUAUGACCAAAUCUAGAGAUGCUAUGAAGAUACAUUAAAAAAAAUCUAGAAUCUGUUGAUUUUAUAAAAUGAUACUUGCCCUUAUUUAGUAAAAUCUGAGUUUAUUUGAGAAAUUUAUCGUUUUGAUGGGUUUGUCAAUUAUUUACUCAUAAAACUAGUCGAAUCCAAUUUGAAAACACGAUUUUUUUUGUUGUUGUAAAAUCCAUUAUUCAACAAUUCAAUUUUCAACCCACCAACGAGGAAAUCACACAGGACUUCCUGCUAACCUACCAUCUUUUUUCAAGAGUUCAAACCCAAUCCAACACCACCAACUCGACAGCACAUUAAGGGCUAACAAAAAUAAAUUAGAGACUCAAACGAUAAAUUAACAUCUUAUCGUUGAACUAGUAAACUCAUUCUAUCACAAAUUGAUCAAAAAUAGUAUUUAAGUGGUAAGGAACAAGAUAAGGAUAAAAGACAAAAAUAAUAAAAUUUCUUAAAAAUGAGAUUUGAACCCUAAUCAGUAAAACAAAUACUUAUUCAUGACAUAAAUUAACAAAUUAAAAAUUCAUAUUUUUGGGUCUUAAAAGUUUUUAAUAAAUUAUAAUUACUUGAUUCCAGUUUCUUUAUUAUGCCCAAAUUUAAGAUUAAGCCCUAUAUUUUAAUUUUGACAUAAUUUGAUUUAUUUAUUUUUAUAAUGUCAUUAGUUAUCUUAAAUCGCUAACAUUAUUAGCUAUGCCAAGUAAAAUAACAUCGCGUAUUUUUUUUCUUAAAAUCAUCACUUCUAACUAAAUAAUGGCUUAAUCACUUUUUUAACUAAUUAUACUAACAUAGAUUUUUUUUAGUUGGAACGAGUAUGUUUAAGGAAAAAUCACCUCAACACUUUACUUGAAAUUAGUAAUCACAUUAAUUAUUUGGACUAACUAAAUCAUUACUGAAUCACCUUCUAACUAAUUAUAGUAAUGUAUAUAUUUAAGAAAAAGCUCACUUUAAUGUUUUAACUGAAAUUAUUAACCGUGUUAAUUACUUAAACUAACUAAUGAAAAAUAUUUCAAAUUAAUUUAUACUGAAUAACUCUCAAAUCCAAGUAUAAUAAAAUAAUAUGACUAACUCAAACUUGGCGUUGAAUUGAGUUUGGGAGUAAAAUAAUCACAUCACUCAUUGGCAAAGCAUGACUGUGAUUAUGAUAUGGUUUUUCGAAGUAUAACUAUGGUGGAGUUGAUAGCAUUGAUUAGAAUACCUUUAUAAAUGAAUAUAUAACAUUUAAUCAUGUAUAUAUUUUUAAUAAUUUAAUAACUUAAAAAAACACCACACUUUAUUAUAUAUGUAAAAUGUAAAUAGAAGCUACAUUCUUAUUUCAUGAAAUAACAUCAUAGAGAAUGUGAUGGCAGAGUUCAUUCUCAGUAAUAUAUGUGAUACUAAUUAGGAAUCAAACUGUCUUCAAUGGCUGGAUGGAGGUGGAGGUGGAGGUGGAGACAUGAAAGGAAUGGAAGGCAAGCUGCUACUGGGAAGUGGUGGAAGAACAGUGAUAGGCUUAGGCUAAGAUGGUGGGAUUGUUGGUAGCUUCGGGAUUCAAGGCAAUGGAGGUAUGCAGGGUUGAGCUGAGAAUGAUGGUAGAUCUAGGAUUGAAGGCAAUGGAAGUAUGUUGGGCAACUUACGAAGUGGUGGUAGUUCUAAGUUCUGGGAUUGAAGGAAAUGGUGGUGGUUCUGGGAUUAAAGGAAGUGGUGACAUCGGAGGUGGCAAUGGUACCGGUAAAUAUGCAGAUGGCAAUGGUACUGGUAAAAAUGGAGGUGGCAAUGGUAUUGGCGACAAUGGAGGUAGCAAUGGUACUGGUGACAAUGGUAUUGGCGACAAUGGAGGUGGCAAUGGUAUUGGUGGAAAUGGAGGUGGCACUUGCUGAAGAUUUCGGGUUGCUAGGCUAACCUCCAUGCUUGAAAAACCCAAGGAAAUGAAGCAGGCUAAUAAAAUGAAAACGUUGGAAGCUGCCAUUUUUUUUUGGAGAGAUGAACUAAAGAUUGAAGAUUUGAGUUGAGGAAAGCAGGAUUGGUUUCGGGUAUUUAUAGCCACAUUUGAAGGAGUUUUUUAAUUAUUUGUUUGAGAUAUUACUCCCCUACUUAGCUUACUACCUUC